rnacentral:lncRNA from 1 species
AAGGAAAUAAAUUAUAAAUUAAAUGCAUAAGUGAAAUAAUAAAGUUAGGGUUUAUAUUCCUUACACAAUAAUUCAGAAUACCUAAUAGAGCUACGGGAAUGACCAUUCUAAAAUAAUAAAUGAAAAAUUAAGGAAAUAAACGGAAAGUAAAUAACUGAGCAUCCUAUUCACAACCUUUUUGUAGAUCGGGAUCUGGAUCUUGGUCCUCUUG